CUAGUUGGUAGGGUAAUGGCUUACCAAGGCAACGAUCAGUAGUUGGUCUGAGAGGACGGCCAGCCACACUGGGACUGAGACACGGCCCAGACUCCUACGGGAGGCAGCAGUGGGGAAUUUUGGACAAUGGGCGCAAGCCUGAUCCAGCAAUGCCGCGUGAGUGAAGAAGGCCUUCGGGUUGUAAAGCUCUUUCAGUUGAGAAGAAAAAGUCGUGACUAAUAAUCAUGAUUCAUGACGGUAUCAACAGAAGAAGCACCGGCUAACUACGUGCCAGCAGCCGCGGUAAUACGUAGGGUGCAAGCGUUAAUCGGAAUUACUGGGCGUAAAGGGUGCGCAGGCGGUUCUGUAAGUCAGAUGUGAAAUCCCCGGGCUUAACCUGGGAACUGCGUUUGAAACUGCAGAGCUAGAGUGCGGCAGAGGGAGGUGGAAUUCCAUGUGUAGCAGUGAAAUGCGUAGAGAUAUGGAAGAACAUCGAUGGCGAAGGC
rnacentral:rRNA from 1 species